rnacentral:rRNA from 1 species
GAUGAACGCUGGCGGCGUGCCUAAUACAUGCAAGUCGAGCGAACGGACGAGAAGCUUGCUUCUCUGAUGUUAGCGGCGGACGGGUGAGUAACACGUGGAUAACCUACCUAUAAGACUGGGAUAACUUCGGGAAACCGGAGCUAAUACCGGAUAAUAUUUUGAACCGCAUGGUUCAAAAGUGAAAGACGGUCUUGCUGUCACUUAUAGAUGGAUCCGCGCUGCAUUAGCUAGUUGGUAAGGUAACGGCUUACCAAGGCAACGAUGCAUAGCCGACCUGAGAGGGUGAUCGGCCACACUGGAACUGAGACACGGUCCAGACUCCUACGGGAGGCAGCAGUAGGGAAUCUUCCGCAAUGGGCGAAAGCCUGACGGAGCAACGCCGCGUGAGUGAUGAAGGUCUUCGGAUCGUAAAACUCUGUUAUUAGGGAAGAACAUAUGUGUAAGUAACUGUGCACAUCUUGACGGUACCUAAUCAGAAAGCCACGGCUAACUACGUGCCAGCAGCCGCGGUAAUACGUAGGUGGCAAGCGUUAUCCGGAAUUAUUGGGCGUAAAGCGCGCGUAGGCGGUUUUUUAAGUCUGAUGUGAAAGCCCACGGCUCAACCGUGGAGGGUCAUUGGAAACUGGAAAACUUGAGUGCAGAAGAGGAAAGUGGAAUUCCAUGUGUAGCGGUGAAAUGCGCAGAGAUAUGGAGGAACACCAGUGGCGAAGGCGACUUUCUGGUCUGUAACUGACGCUGAUGUGCGAAAGCGUGGGGAUCAAACAGGAUUAGAUACCCUGGUAGUCCACGCCGUAAACGAUGAGUGCUAAGUGUUAGGGGGUUUCCGCCCCUUAGUGCUGCAGCUAACGCAUUAAGCACUCCGCCUGGGGAGUACGACCGCAAGGUUGAAACUCAAAGGAAUUGACGGGGACCCGCACAAGCGGUGGAGCAUGUGGUUUAAUUCGAAGCAACGCGAAGAACCUUACCAAAUCUUGACAUCCUUUGACAACUCUAGAGAUAGAGCCUUCCCCUUCGGGGGACAAAGUGACAGGUGGUGCAUGGUUGUCGUCAGCUCGUGUCGUGAGAUGUUGGGUUAAGUCCCGCAACGAGCGCAACCCUUAAGCUUAGUUGCCAUCAUUAAGUUGGGCACUCUAAGUUGACUGCCGGUGACAAACCGGAGGAAGGUGGGGAUGACGUCAAAUCAUCAUGCCCCUUAUGAUUUGGGCUACACACGUGCUACAAUGGACAAUACAAAGGGCAGCGAAACCGCGAGGUCAAGCAAAUCCCAUAAAGCUGUUCUCAGUUCGGAUUGUAGUCUGCAACUCGACUACAUGAAGCUGGAAUCCCUAGUAAUCGUAGAUCAGCAUGCUACGGUGAAUACGUUCCCGGGUCU